CUACGGGAUGCACCAGUGAGGAAUUUUGCGCAAUGGGGGAAACCCUGACGCAGCAACGCCGCGUGAGCGAAGAAGGCCUUCGGGUCGUAAAGCUCUGUCAAGUGGGAAAAAAAUUCUUUGAUCAAUAGUCAAAGGAUUUGAUGGUACCACUGGAGGAAGCACCGGCUAACUCCGUGCCAGCAGCCGCGGUAAUACGGAGGGUGCAAGCGUUGUUCGGAAUUACUGGGCGUAAAGAGCGUGUAGGCGGUUUGGCAAGUCAGAUGCGAAAGCCCUGGGCUCAACCUGGGAAGUGCAUUUGAAACUGCUUGACUAGAGUAUGGGAGAGGAGAUUGGAAUUCCUGGUGUAGAGGUGAAAUUCGUAGAUAUCAGGAGGAACACCCGUGGCGAAGGCGACGAUCUAAGCCGAUACUGACACUUAGGGGCGAAAGCGUGGGGAUCAAACAGGAUUAGAUACCCCCGUAGUC
rnacentral:rRNA from 1 species